rnacentral:rRNA from 1 species
UGGGGAAUCUUGCACAAUGGGGGAAACCCUGAUGCAGCGACGCCGCGUGAUUUAGAAGGCCUUCGGGUUGUAAAAAUCUUUUUUACGGGAUGAAAAUGACAGUACCGUAAGAAUAAGGUCCGGCUAAAUACGUGCCAGCAGCCGCGGUAAUACGUAUGGACCGAGCGUUGUCCGGAAUCAUUGGGCGUAAAGGGUACGUAGGCGGCCUAGUAAGUUAGAAGUUAAAGAAUAUAGCUCAACUAUAUAAAGCUUUUAAAACUGCUAGGCUUGAGAGAUGGAAGGGAAAGUGGAAUUCCUAGUGUAGCGGUGAAAUGCGCAGAUAUUAGGAAGAAUACCGGUGGCGAAGGCGACUUUCUGGUCAUCAUCUGACGCUGAGGUACGAAAGCGUGGGUAGCAAACAGG